ACUCCUUUAGUAUCAACUAGUACAGCUGACUUCCAAUCAGCUAGACCCAGUAUAAACCUGGGAAGGAGUA
rnacentral:tRNA from 1 species